rnacentral:rRNA from 1 species
AUCAACUUUCGAUGGUAGGAUAGAGGCCUACCAUGGUUAUGACGGGUAACGGGGAAUAAGGGUUCGAUUCCGGAGAGAGGGCCUGAGAAACGGCCCUCAUGUCUAAGGAUAGCAGCAGGCGCGCAAAUUACCCAAUCCCGACUCGGGGAGGUAGUGACAAUAAAUAACAAUACGGGGCUCUUUCGGGUCUCGUAAUUGGAAUGAGUACAAUUUAAAUCUCUUAACGAGGAACAAUUGGAGGGCAAGUCUGGUGCCAGCAGCCGCGGUAAUUCCAGCUCCAAUAGCGUAUAUUAAAGUUGUUGCAGUUAAAAAGCUCGUAGUUGAACCUCGGGGUCUACCCAUUGGUCAGGCUUAAUUGUCUGCACUGGUGAGAUGGAUCUCUACCUUCUGAGGAACUUUCAUGCCAUUUAUUUGGUGUGAUAGGAAAUCAGGACUGUUACUUUGAAAAAAUUAGAGUGUUUAAAGCAGACUAUCGUCUGAAUACAUUAGCAUGGAAUAAUGAAAUAGGACGGACUGAUUCUAUUUCGUUGGUUUCUAGGAUCACCGUAAUGAUUAAUAGGGAUAGUUGGGGGCAUUAGUAUUCAAUUGUCAGAGGUGAAAUUCUUGGAUUUAUUGAAGACUAACUACUGCGAAAGCAUUUGCCAAGGAUGUUUUCAUUAAUCAAGAACGAAAGUUAGGGGAUCGAAGACGAUCAGAUACCGUCGUAGUCUUAACCAUAAACUAUGCCGACUAGGGAUCGGACGAAGUUAAUUUUAUAAUGACGCGUUCGGCACCUUACGGGAAACCAAAGUGUUUGGGUUC